rnacentral:rRNA from 1 species
UCAGGAUGAACGCUAGCUACAGGCUUAACACAUGCAAGUCGAGGGGCAGCAUGAUCUUAGCUUGCUAAGAUUGAUGGCGACCGGCGCACGGGUGAGUAACGCGUAUCCAACCUUCCCUAUAGUAGAGUAUAGCCCGGCGAAAGUCGGAUUAAUGCUCUAUGUUCUUCUUUGAUGGCAUCUGAUGAGAAGCAAAGAUUUAUCGCUAUAGGAUGGGGAUGCGUCUGAUUAGGUUGUAGGCGGGGUAACGGCCCACCUAGCCGACGAUCAGUAGGGGUUCUGAGAGGAAGGUCCCCCACAUUGGUACUGAGACACGGACCAAACUCCUACGGGAGGCAGCAGUGAGGAAUAUUGGUCAAUGGACGCGAGUCUGAACCAGCCAAGUAGCCGUGCAGGACGACUGCCCUAUGGGUUGUAAACUGCUCUUAUAGGGGAAUAAAGUGAGGAACGUGUUCCUUUUUGUAUGUACCCUAUGAAUAAGGACCGGCUAAUUCCGUGCCAGCAGCCGC